CGGAUUGUAGUCUGCAACCCGACUACAUGAAGCUGGAACCGCUAGUAAUCGCGGAUCAGCAUGCCGCGGUGAAUACGUUCCCGGGCCUUGUACACACCGCCCGUCACACCAUGAGAGUCGGAACACCCGAAGUCCGUAGCCUAACCGCGAAGGGGGCGCGGCCGAAGGUGGGUUCGAUAAUUGGGGUGAAGUCGUAACAAGGUAUC
rnacentral:rRNA from 1 species